rnacentral:sRNA from 1 species
GACCUGGAGCAAACAUUCUAAAACAGCACAAAUGGCAGAAGCAGAGCCCACAGGCUUCUUGUCAGGAAUCCGUUUGGAGUAUGGAAAGAAUCCCAGUGCCUGUGAACUUCUGGGUUGUCUGCUGUGCAGUUCUGAAAUGUAACCCUGGGAUUCCUAAAAGAAUGUCAACUCUAUGCUUUGGAUUUUCUAGUCUCACUCUGUCAACCAGACUGCAGUGCAGUGACAGGAUUGCAGCUCACUGCAGCCUCAACGACCUGGGCCCAUGCAAUUCUCCCACCUCAGCCUUCCCAAGUAGCUGGGACUACAGGUGCACAGCACCAUGCCUGGCUAAUUUUUAAAUUUGUUAUAGAGAUGUAUCUCUCUAUGUUGCCCAGGCUGGGCUCGAAUUCCUGGCCUUAAGAGAUCCUCCCUGCCUCGGCCUCCUGAAGUGUGGGAUUAUAGACGUGAGCCACGUGACCUGGCCUCACCAAAAGUUCUUAAACCAACAAAACACAUGGCAGUAACAGGUACUCUUCCUUUUCUUGAAGAAUUAUCCUGCCAAAACAGUUUCUCUGCAAUUUGUGGUGAAAGCUAGAGGCAUCCUGAGGCAUCCCAAGGCAGCCUUGGAAGACUGCGAUCUAUGUUCUUUUGGGGAUACUUGAGUUUCUGUGGAUGGAAAUGCUCUGGAGAAGCUCUAUUUGUUGAGAGUGGCAGACACCCAGUUCUUGAUGUUCAUAAAACUAUGGCAGGCAGAGUUGGGAAAGAUAUAUUAAGUCAUAAAUCUAGAUUCGGGUCCAAGGCAGAAUGGUUCACCAUUGUAGUCAUUCCAAGUCAUUGUCCAGGCAGCUUUGAAAUAUCUCGAGGGCCUAACUCUUAGAAGGCUAUUUUUCUCCUCUGGUUCCUGGGCAAACGUUGGGGUGUUUGAUUUUUUCUUUUUUAAAAAGACAUGUUAGAAUUGGAGCCACAGAACUACUUAAUUAUCUCCAUUCACCUAAAUUUCUAUAGUGGUUUCCUUAUGAAGAAAACAAUUAAUGUAGAGAGGCCCUAGUACCUCUGGCAUAAAGUUGUCAUCAAAGAACAAAUCAAUCAUUUUCUUUGGUUCCUUGUAUUUCAACUUUUGUGUUGAGUUUUGUUUCAGCUUUAAGGAAAAAGCAAACUUGCUGGGCUUCUCAUUAGCCAGCAUUAUCAAGAAUGAGUAACAUUUAAAAGCUCCUUUUUGUUAAUGGAAAGGAAGUAGCUUCCUUGCCUUUCCUAUAAACAUUUACAUUGAGUCUGUUUACUCCUGUCAUUGGUAAAUCUCAUUUGUUCCCAAGUUUUAUUUUAGGCUAUUACAGGGCUAAAAAAAAAAAAAAAAAAGGGAAAUCCUAAAACUAAGCUUUCAUUUUUUCAUGUUUUCUUUUAACUUCAUAUUGAAUGAUCCUAAUCUUCCAAAAGAUUUUAGUGGCUACUGUUGUGUAGCAAAGAGGGAGACUGUUCUAGACUACAAAGAGAGUAGACUUGAAUUAAUACAAUUGCUUGACUAAUGUAUGCUAUAUGUCAUUAGUGAAAUCAUUUAUGUGCCUUGCAUGCAUGCAUGUGCAUGUGUGUGAUGUGAUGUGGUUUGCUUGCUUGUUCAUGAAAAUAUUCAGAACAAAUCUCUUUUUGAUAAGUAAUGCUACUAGCAAAUACAGAAGUGCUGAAGAAUAAUACAAUAUUUGAAUAUUUGCAUUUGAAAUCUUAUUAUCAUUUUAAACCAAGACAAGUGGGUGUUAGUUUAUUGAUGCCAGCGACAUCAGUAUUAGUAAUAGGCUCCUUUAGCAAAAAGCAA